rnacentral:rRNA from 1 species
CUUAAGCAUAUCAAUAAGCGGAGGAAAAGAAACCAACAGGGAUUGCCCUAGUAACGGCGAGUGAAGCGGCAACAGCUCAAAUUUGAAAUCUGGCCCUCGGGUCCGAGUUGUAAUUUGUAGAGGAUGCUUUUGGUGCAGUGCCUUCCGAGUUCCUUGGAACAGGACGCCUUAGAGGGUGAGAGCCCCGUACGGUUGGACACUAAGCCUCUGUAAAGCUCCUUCGACGAGUCGAGUAGUUUGGGAAUGCUGCUCUAAAUGGGAGGUAAAUUUCUUCUAAAGCUAAAUACCGGCCAGAGACCGAUAGCGCACAAGUAGAGUGAUCGAAAGAUGAAAAGUACUUUGAAAAGAGGGUUAAAUAGCACGUGAAAUUGUUGAAAGGGAAGCGUUUAUGACCAGACCUUUGUCUGGCGGAUCAUCCGGUGUUCUUCACCGGUGCACUUCGCCAGGCUCAGGCCAGCAUCGAUUUCUGUAGGGGGAUAAAAACCAUGGGAACGUAGCUCUCUCCGGGGAGUGUUAUAGCCCUAGGUACAAUACCUUUACGGGGAUCGAGGUUCGCGCUUCUGCAAGGAUGCUGGCGUAAUGGUCAUCAACGACCCGUCUUGAAACACGGACCAAGGAGUCGAACAUUUAUGCGAGUGUUUGGGUGUUAAACCCUCACGCGUAAUGAAAGUGAACGGAGGUGAGAGCCCGUACGGGUGCAUCAUCGACCGAUCCUGAUGUCUUCGGAUGGAUUUGAGUAAGAGCAUAACUGUUCGGACCCGAAAGAUGGUGAACUAUGCGUGGAUAGGGUGAAGCCAGAGGAAACUCUGGUGGAGGCUCGCAGCGGUUCUGACGUGCAAAUCGAUCGUCAAAUCUGCGCAUGGGGGCGAAAGACUUAUCGAACCAUCUAGUAGCUGGUUACCGCCGA